rnacentral:misc_RNA from 1 species
GAAAAUGGAUGCCCUGGAUUACUGCAAAAUCAUCCAUAUUCUUAAAAUAAUAAAGAGUACCAAAGGAUGGAAUAGAAUAACAAAGACUCAUGAAUAAAUAGCACAAAAAUAAAAAUAAUGAUAAUAAUUGUCACACAAUAACUCUACAAUAAAUCCACCAUAGAGACCAAGAAACAGAAAUGGAAGGAAGGAAGAGAGAGAGAGAUUAAUGAUAACUU